rnacentral:lncRNA from 1 species
UAUUUGCAAUUUUUUGUUUUCUUCCUCAUAAUCUUUGUUUUUUGCUUUUAGUUGAAUAUUUAAUAUUUAUUUAAUCAUGUCUCUCAUCAAAGAAAAGAAAAUAACUUGAAGCCAUGCCUUUCUUAAAAUGUACUUUUGUAAAAUGUAUUAAAUGUAUACUAUUGAAUCUUUGCUUAAUACAACACAAAUUUAUUUAUUAUCUUACAGCUCUGGAGGUCAGAAGUUUAGAAUGCAUCUCACUGGGAUAAAAUCAAGGCAUCUGCAAUGCUAUGUUCCUUCUAGAGGCUGUAGGAGAGAAUGCAUUUCUUUUCUUUUUCCAGAUUCUAGAGGCUUUCUGUGUUACUUAGUUUGAGGCCCACCCUUCUAUCUUUAAAGUCACCAAUGCCCAGUCGAAUUUUGCUCCAUCACAUCACUGACACUAACUUCUGCCUCCCUCUCCCAUUUAUAAAGACCCUUGUGAUUACAUUGUGCCAUCUGGAUAACACAGGAUCAUCUCCUCAUCUCAAAUUCAACUGAUUAUCAAUCUCAAUGAGAUGUAUAACCUCAAUUCUUCCUUGUCAUGUUCAAUGAAUGAAACUGAAAUUGCCAUUGUAGUCCGGGCGCAGUGGCUCACGCCUGUAAUCCCAGCACUUUGGGAGGCUGAGGCAGGUGGAUCACCUGAGGUCAGAAGUUUGAGACCAGCCUGACCAAAAAAGUGAAACCCCGUCUCUACUAAAAAUACAAAAAUUAGCCAGGCAUGGUGGCAGGCACCUGCAGUACCAGCUACUCGAGGGGCUGAGACAGGAGAAUCGCUUGAACCUGGGAGGGGGAGGUUGCAAUGAGUCAAGAUCAUGCCACUGCACUCCAGCCUGGGUGAUGGAGCAAGACUCCAUCUCAAAAAAAAAAAAAAAAAAAAAAAAAAGAAAGAAAGAAAGAAAAGAAAAGAAAGAGAAAAAAGAAAUCGUCAUUGCAAAAUUGUAACUGACAGUGAAAGAGAUCUAACCUAACCAACUCUUCCUUGCAUCUCACCUCCAAGCUGUCCUUGUUCAUUCCUGGGCAUAGGCUGAAGUAACUUUGGGAGGAAUUUAGUUUAUAGUUGAAAACAAAAAUAAUAACAGCCCUUUCCCAAAACAAACCUCCUUCUUGCUUGGGGACUAAAUUGCCUUUGUAGGACUAACAAAUUAGCCACAAGAUUAAAAUUGUGAUUUAGGAGUCAUGCAGUUGGAGGCUACAAGAUUCUGACCCUCCUUGAACUGCUCCUAAGAUCAGUGCUUGAGAUGUUUUGCAGACCCUGCACUUGAUGGCUCAGCUGGCACCACCCAGAUCAAUAAACUGGCUCAUCAGAUAUUGUGGCCUCCACCUGGAACUGACUCAGCAUUAGAAGACAGCUUUGACUCCCUGUGAUUUCAUCUCUGAUUGGUCAGGCCACUGGUUCCCCCACCCACCAAGUUGUCCUUAAAAACUCUGAUCCCUGAAUGCUCACGGAGACUGAUCUGAGUAAUAAUAAAACUUCAGUCUCCUGCGCAGUUGGUUUUGCGUGAAUUACUCUUUCUCUAUUGCAAUUCCCCUGUCUUGAUAAAUUGGUUCUGUCUAGGCAGCAGGCAAGGUGAACCCAUUGGUUGGUAACAGAAUGUUUGUGUCCCUCCAUAAUUCAUACAUUAAAAUUCUAUCUUCUCUACCCCCAAUAUGAUGAUAUGGGGAGGUGGAGGCUUUGGGAGGUAAUUAGGUCAUAAAGGUGGAGACCUCAAGAAGCUUCAUGCUUUUAUGAAAUGACCCCAGAUAGUUCUCCCUUUCAGCCAUGUGAAGACAUAAUGAGAAGUAGGCAAUCUGCAGAACCUGACCAUGCUGAUACCCUGAUAUCAGACUUUCACCCUUCAGAACUGUCCAGCUCGUGGACAUCUUUGGAGGCCAUUAUUCUGCCACCA